rnacentral:lncRNA from 1 species
AUAGAAAUAUCACUCCAUGUUUGUGUAGGUAAUGGUAAAGGAUGUAACAGUCCACCUAGGCUUAAGGUUUGAUACUUAUUCCUUUGACAUACUUCGCAGGUUGCACAUAGUCAUGUAUCUGUUUUCUCAUACCUUCCCAAUACACCAACUUUGAAAUUUUUUUAUAAGUCCUGAGAGACCCUGAAUGCCCACCAAUGGAGGUAUCAUGAAAUUCAUGUA